GGAAUCGGUCAUCCUUACCGAUGGUCAGGGAAACCAGAUCUAGGACACAGAGGGAACCAGAGGAUCCGCAUUUUGGAAGCAAAAUGCAAUGAAAGUUUGUGCUGUGAAGGAAGGAGAUUUGCAGCAGUUACAAGGAAGCAAAAAGAGGAGACUCAGUCGGUGAGAUGAUAAUGGUGUAGAUGCAGUGUUCGAUACAAUUGAAGAGGUGGUCCAGGCAGCACAGGGUCUUCAGGAGGUGUCAGCUACA